rnacentral:lncRNA from 1 species
AAUGUGCAUGCUUUAUAUGACUUUAUGCUAAAUUAUAGGUAAAUACCUAGCUAAUGUCGGAAGCACUACAUUUCUCUAGUAAGUUAGGUACUUUGUCUAUAUUUCUACUCUCUUUUAUUGUCAGUGGUUCUUCAUUUCUUAUGGCUAUUUCCAGAUCUUUCUUGACCUCCUUGACAAGUGUGGAUGUUCCUCUUCUGUAUUCACCUGUUCCAUUUCAAAAUGCUGCUCUUUCUGCCCAGAGGUAAGUGUAAUUUAAUUCAAAUUUAAUGGUUAUAGACUGGUGUUAGUGACCUUUGUUUUCCUUGUCCAUGAAUGCAUUUCCAAGAGCAAAUAUACGUUUCAGCCAGAUUCUCACAUAAAUGGUGGCCAAUGGUUGGAUGUUUAGAUCCACCAUAUUGAAAAUACAUCCAAACUAUUUCUGUGCAUAUGGAUAGGGUAGUCCCAAACUUCGAACCUUCUAAAGGUAAGUGCUUCCCUGGUACUGCUUUGUGUUCUCAAAGUUUCAUCAAAUAGGAUCCCUGAACUUUGUUGUAACAUGAUUGAAAUAACUUUGAUCAAUCCUUCUUCCACAUUUUCUUAUUGUUAUAAUCAUUUAUCAACCUUUCCUUGUAUCUGCAUCUGACACGAAGAGGUCCAAUGCAUGUAUUACUGCCCUUCUCAUGUAAUAUAACCUACUCAGGAUACAUUGCUUUUCUUUUAUAGGAUUACCGAUUACCUUGGAAGGAGAGUAGUCAUCCUUUGAAAUUAUAGCAAAAUGGUUCUUUGUAAAUUUUAAUACUUGUACAACGAUAAAUAUUUAUUAUGAUUAAUUUUAGUUGCUUGGUUUUGCUUGCUAAUUCCUAUGGGGUAGGUGCUUGGGAUUUUUCAGUAGUGGCCUUCUUUUGCAGGUCAGUUGCGGGGAGUUGAAGAGAGCUGAUCAUGUUGUUUUUCCUCUUAAAGGAUCCAAAAUGAAAGAUGAAGCAAAUGAAAGUGUUUCGGCUGGUCUCUCCUACAACAUUGAAAUCAAGGAUGCUUACAUUCCACCGUGGAUAAUAUCCAAUAUAUGUGCAACCAUGGGUUCUGCAAGGAGGAGCUUUGAGGUAAGGUAUGACAAAUUUUGUCACUGUGCCUAAUUAUUUUCUAUGAUUAGCCCUGAUCUCACUACAAAAAGCUGCAGUAAUGGUAGAUGAACAAAUAUAUGUAACUGGGAGCUUUGGCUUUCAGUUAUUCAUCUUACUGGAAAUCAUGUCAUUAGAUAUUAUUUUACGCACUUGUUCAUGUUUGUUGGCAUAUUGUAUAGCCAUAUAUAGAUAGCAUUACCGGCUGGCUAACAAUAAUAAGCUAACUUUAUGUGUGUGCGUGCGUGUGUGCGCACAGUUUUACAACAGAGCCGACUUCAAUUGGCCUUGUUAGAUAGUGUGCAGUUAUUUAGGUUAUUUACUUUUCCUUUUCCUUUUCUUUCCUUAUUGUAUUGUGAGUCUCACUAACAUGUAUAUAUAUAUAUAUAUACCCAAGUCCAAUGUGUAUUAUUAACAGUUUUUCAAUAACAAGAAUUAAGGAUUCUCCAUUUUCUCUCUUUUCACAUGGUAUCAGAGCCUAAGGAGAAAAAAAACCCUAAUUAUUUCCGGUUUAUCCGUGAAUCCAUUUUGGGAAAUCUUUUAGUGACCAUGUUUCAUUCCGAUCACCUUUCCCAUCUCCUAAAGCUUUCCGAUCAACUGUAUCGUCGUUAGAAAACCCUCACCGCCGUAAAAAAAACCCUCACUGCUGGCGACCUUUUUCCAGCGAAGUCCUUUUUCGACACCGACCAUACCAUCAGGUGCGCAAGGAGGAGAUCUUCAAGUUUUCUCAAAGCACCGGAGGGAGAUUCUCAGUCAUGCGCCGGCCAUGUGCGUUUCUUCUCCGGCGGCCUGAACGUCACGCGCCGGCUCACCUGACGCCGUCUAGCCACUCUUCAUAUGUGCUUGUGCCAUCCGAGCCCUGGAAGUGCGUUUUUUGGGGUUUUUUUUUUCUCUGUCGACCCUCUAAACAACCUUUCCAGCGACCUCCGGUGACUUCCUCUCCACCUCGAGCCCUGCACGUGUCUUAGGAAGUGUUCUUCUACCCUUCCAAUAGUGCCACAUUUAUUUUUCUUUACUAUUUGGUCUCUCACAACCGCGGAUCCUCGGUUUUUCUUCUUUCGGCCGCGAUCUGAAGUUAGGGCUCUCUUCGAUCCAAACAUAUUUCGUUCUUCAGAUAAGUAGAUAUGGCUACUAAAAGUUCCACUUUUUCCUCUGUCAUAUCUGGAUCUCCUAUGAUUACUUUGGAGAAAUUGGUUGGCAGUGAAAAUUAUUUGUCCUGGUCUGCCUCUGUGGAGUUUUGGUUUAUGGGUCAAGGUUAUGAGGAUCACUUUGUUACGCAGGAGGCAGAUAUCCUUGAGGUUGACAGAGUACAAUGGAGGAAGAUAGAUGCAUAGUUAUGUAGUGUGUUAUGGCAAUCAGUUGAUUCUAAGAUUCUGCUUCAUCUUCGGGCCUACAAAACAUGCUUUAAAUUUUGGAAUCAGGCGAAAGGGCUAUACACGAAUGAUAUCCAACGUCUUUAUAAGGUGGCUUCUUCUAUUGUCAAUGUCAGACAACAAGACAUGGAUUUAUCUACUUAUAUUGGCCAGAUUGCCUCUCUUAAGGAGGAAUUCUUGACCGUGAUGCCUCUUAUUACUGAUGUUGGGGAUCAACGAACACAGAUUGACAAGUUCUUCAUGGUUCUUACGCUUAUUAGCCUUCGUCCAGAUCUCGAGACCGUCUGCGAUCAGAUUCUUGGCAGUUCCUCCAUACCAUCAUUGGAUGAUGUGUUUGCUUGCCUCCUCCGUAUCUCCUCCACUCAGACUUUGCCAUCUGAUAAUACUUUAGAUUCUUCUGUGUUAGUUUCUCUAACUAACUCUCGAGGCAGACGCAGUGGUAACCGAGGUAGAAGCCAACGUCCUCAUUGCACCUAUUGCAAUAAGCUUGGCCACACUCGUGAUCGGUGUUAUCAGUUACAUGGGCAGCCUCCCCGCACUGCCCACAUGGCCCAGUCAUCUGGUCCUCAGUCGCCUCAGCCUCCCAGUUCCUCCACGUCUUAAGGUAUUUCCCUCACUAACAGUGAGUAUGAUGACUAUCUCCGCUAUCAGGCCACCAAGUCAGCUUCUGUUGCUUCUGUUGCCCAGACUGGUAAUGUUUUUGCUUGUCUUACCCAUACAUCUUCUCUUGGACCUUGGAUUUUAAAUUCUGGCGCUUCUGAUCACAUAUCUGGUAAUAAGGAUUUUUUUUCUUCUAUUACUACUACCUCUGCCUUACCUACUAUUACUUUAGCUAAUGGUUCCCAAACUAUGGCUAAAGGUUUUGGUUUCGCUCAUCCUCUCCCUUCCCUACCUCUCCAUUCUAUCCUUUAUGCCCCUGAGUGUCCUUUUAAUCUUAUUUUCAUCAGCAAAAUAACUCGUACUCUUAACUGUUCUAUCACUUUCUCUGAUAAAUUUAUGACCUUGCAGGAUUGGAGUACGGGGAAGACGACUGGUAUAGGACGUGAGUCUUAAGGCCUCUAUCACCUCACCUCGCCUUCAACUCCUACAGUUUGCAUUUCCACUGAUGCUCCCCUCCUCAUCCACAAUCGCCUUGGCCACCCUAGUCUAUCCAAGUUCCAGAAAAUGGUCCCUCGUUUUUCAUCUUUGUUGUCGCUUGCGUGUGAGUCCUGUCAGCUUGGGAAACAUACUCGUGUCUCGUUCCCAAAGCGUUUGAAUAAUCGGGCAAAGUCUCCUUUUGAACUUGUCCACACUGAUGUUUGGGGUCCUUGUCGGACUGCGUCUACUUUAGGAUUUCAGUAUUUUGUCACUUUCAUUGAUGACUAUUCUCGAUGUACUUGGUUAUUUUUAAUGAAAAAUUGAGUUGAGUUAUUCUCUAUUUUCCAAAAAUUUUAUGCUGAAAUCCAAACCUUGUUCAAUAUUUCUAUUCGUGUGUUGUGCAGUGACAAUGCCAGAGAAUAUUUUUCUGCACCAUUUACUUCAUUUAUGUCCCAACAUGGGAUCAUUCAUCAGUCUUCUUGUGCUCAUACUCCUCAACAAAAUCGGGUAGCUAAACGUAAGAAUCAACAUCUUGUUGAGACAGCUCGUACUCUCCUUCUCCAUAGUAAUGUUUCUUUUCGUUUUUUGGGGACGCUGUUCUUACAGCAUGUUAUUGGAUUAAUUGUAUGCCCUCAUCUGUAUUAUACGAUCAGAUUCCUCAUUCCCUUUUUUUCCCUGACCAACCACUUUAUUUCCUUCCUUCUCGUGUUUUUGGUUGUACUUGCUUUGUUCAUAUUCUUACUCCUGGACAGGACAAACUUUCUACUAAAGCUACAAAAUGCAUCUUCUUGGGAUAUUCUAGACUUCAAAAGGGUUAUCGUUGUUAUUCCUCUGAGACUCAUCGCUACUUUCUCUCCAUUGAUGUCACUUUCUUUAAGGACUCACCGUUCUUCUCCACCUCUGAGUCUCUUCCUGUUUUUGAAGUCUUACCCCUUCCCAUUAUCUCCCAACCUAAUGCAGUGCCUUCUCGCCCACUUCAGGUUUAUCAUCGCUAUCAUCGUGUCGUUAUUCCUCCUUCUUUGGCUGAGGUACCUGCUGACUCACUUCCUAUCCCUUCGGCUUCUCCUGCCUCGGUUCUGCCUCCUUUUGCUGACUUACCUAUUGCUCUUCGGAAAGGUAAUUGAUCUACUCGUAAUCCUCAUCUCAUUUACAAUUUUUUAAGUUACCAUUGAUUAUCUUCACCCUAUUCUGCAUUUGUUUCUGCUAUAUCUUUUGUUUCUCUUCCCAAUAACACCCUUGAGGCUCUUUCCCAUCCAGGCUGGCGACAGACAAUGGUAGAUGAAAUGGCUGCUUUACACUCCAAUGACACUUGGGAUCUUGUUGUUUUACCCUCUAGUAAAUCUACAGUUGGUUGUUGUUGGGUCUACACAGUUAAGGUUGGCCCUGAUGGUCAGGUUGAUCGCCUUAAGGCCCGCUUAGUUGCUAAAGGCUAUACUCAGGUUUAUGGUUCUGAUUAUGGUGACACUUUCUCUCCCAUUGCCAAGAUAGCUUUUGUUCAUCUAUUGCUCUCCAUGGCUGCUAUGCGUUCUUGGCCUCUUUAUUAGUUAGAUAUUAAAAAUGUUUUCCUUCAUGAGGAUCUUGUUGAGGAAGUUUAUAUGGAGCAACAACCUGGUUUUGUUGCUCAGGGGGAGUCUGGUUUAGUGUGCAGGUUACGUCGUUCUCUAUAUGGUUUGAAACAAUCUCCUCGAGCAUGGUUUAGCCUUUUUAGUUAUGUUGUUCAGGAGUUUGGCAUGUUCUGCAAUACAACAGACCAUUCCGUUUUCUAUCAUCAUAACUCUUCGGGGCAGUGUAUUCAUCUGGUAGUUUAUGUGGACGACAUCGUCAUUACAAGCAGUGAUCAGAAUGGUAUUCAGAAACUAAAGCAACACCUUUUCACCCACUUUCAGACUAAAGACUUGGGGAAACUCAAGUAUUUCUUAGGGAUUGAGAUAGCUCAAUCCAGUUCCGAUGUGGUUAUUUUCCAAAGGAAGUAUGCUUUAGACAUCUUGGAAGAAACUGGUAUGUUAGACUGUAAACCGGUAGACACUCCUAUGGAUCCAAAUGUCAAACUUAUACUAGGACAGGGGAAGCCUUUAGGAGAUCCUGGGAGAUAUCAGCGACUUGUAGGUAAACUGAACUACUUCACCAUUACUCGUCCAGACAUUUCUUUUCUUGUAAGUGUUGUUAGUCAAUUCCUACAGUCACCAUGUGAUAGCCAUUGGGAUGUUGUAAUCCACAUUCUUCGAUAUAUCAAAAGCACACCAGACUAAGGUGUGUUGUACGAGAACAGAGGUCAUACCUAGGUUGAUGGUUACACAGAUGCAAAUUAGGUUGGCUCACCCACAGAUAGACGUUCCACUUCCGGGUAUUGUGUUUUUAUUAGAGGUAACCUAAUAUCCUGGAAGAGUAAGAAACAAGAUGUAGUGGUCAGAUCUAGUGCUGAAGCCGAGUAUCGAGCUAUGGCUUUGGCAACAUGUGAACUCAUAUGGCUGAAACAUCUUCUUCGGGAGUUGAGAUUUGGAAAUGAUGAACAGAUGAAGCUUAUCUGUGAUAACCAAGCCGCUUUGCAUAUUGCAUCCAAUCCAGUCUUCCAUGAAAAGACCAAACACAUUGAAGUUGAUUGUCACUUCAUUAGAGAGAAGAUCACAUCAGGAUGUGUGGCGACUAGUUUUGUCAAUUCAAAUGAUCAACUAGCAGAUACUUUUACUAAAUCUCUCAGAGGUCUUAGAAUUAAAUACAUUUGUAACAAGCUUGGUGCAUAUAACAUAUAUGCUUAAGCUUAAGGGGAAGUGUUAAAUAGUGUACAGUUAUUUAGGUUAUUUACUUUUCCUUUUCCUUUUCUUUCCUUAUUGUAUUGUGGGUCCCACUAACAUGUAUAUAUAUAUAUACCCAAGUUCAAUGUGUAUUAUUAACAGUUUUUCAAUAAUAAGAAUUAGGGAUUCUCCAUUUUCUCUCUUUUCACAAGCCUAAACGCUGCAGUUGAAACUGUUGGCCUGAAAGCACAUAUGCAUUUGGAAUUCCGGAGGCUGUUGUAACUUGUUACAUGCAUUUGGCCUCCUUGAAAGGCUUGAAAUAUGCCAAUGGUUCUUUUACUGCUUGUCUUUCGCCUAUAUAACAAAUCUGUUUUCAUUGAUUAUUAUUAUUAUUAUUAUACUAUCAUAUUUUUUUUCUAAAUAUUAUUUUUUAUACACAUCCUUAAAAAUAUUUAAUUGUACACAACUUAUUUUUAUUAUAAUAUACAUUUUUUUUUCUAAAUUAAAUUUCUUAUUUCUCAAUAAAAUAAAUCUUUCAAUAGUAAUAAUCAUACAUCUACAUUUUUUUCAAACAAUCGUAUUUUUUUUUUCUAAAUUAAAUUUCUUAUUUCUCAAUAAAAUAAAUCUUUCAAUACUAAUAAUCAUACAUCUACAUUUUUACAAAUAUAAUUAAUUUUCAAAAAUCAAAAUUAUUAAUUCCAAUGGUAGGUAAGACUAACUUAACUUCCUUGAAAAAUUCUAUAUAAUAAAACUAAUGACGCAAAUUCAAUUCAUUUGUUUGACCAUUAAAAUUCUUUGAAUUUUUCCAAUUCUUUCACACGUGUUAUUAAUUUUGCAUUUUUUUGCCUUUUCAACCCUCACUUUGUUAGAAAUUUUUUCACAUUCAUGGUUUCCAUAUGGGAUAUUACAUGACCUUUCAGUUUUUGUGUUCUUUCAUUCGUGUAUUUUCAUUAAGACUUGCACCAGCCCAAUAAAUGAUAUAAGAGUUUUUGUUGGCGUAACAACCUCAACAUUGCCCUUUCAGGAUGUAGCGAAAAGACCUUUUAAAGGAUUUGUAUUUUAUCAUAAAAUAGAAAAGAAAAGAAAGAAGCACAACAGAAUUUUGACCCCUUUGAACCACUUGGCUCAUAUCUUAAAGUAAUUAAGAAGGGGGAGGAAAAUGGCUUACCAAUAAGUUUCCAUGAGGGCUUGAAUGAACAACUAAAAUAGAGAGAUGGUGGAAUAUAAAGAGGACUUUUCUAGCAAGUGCACCUGGCAAUAAUGGAGCUUAAAGCUUGAGAUCAGUGCUGGAUGCUCUCAAUCUUUUAGGGUGUGGUUCCUGAUCAUCUGCUUGGUUUUCCCCGGCAUCAUCAUGGCCUUUUUGAUGAUCCAACAACAUAGGCACAUUGUCAUGUAGAUAAUCAUGGGUGCAUAUCAGCUGAACCCCGCACCUCUUGAUAAUUUUAGCCUGAUCAUCAAACGCAGCCAGAAAGUGCCAUGGUUGUUUGCGGUGGUACUUAUUUGGAAUAGCAUUCUUAGGAUAGAGAGUCACCAACAAUCGAUCUGAUGCAUAACCAUUAAGGAUGUCGCAUGUACACAGAUAGCAAAUGUCGUGGUCAUCCACAACUUCAUCCGGAUCACCGCGCAAUCUCAGACUAAAUUGAGAUCCAUACAGAUAACGAUUCUCGUCACUAAAAAGAGUGAAGAGAGCAAAUCCCAGAAAGUGGUCAUCCUCGUACCAAUUCAGAGGAGGUUCUAUUCUUACUUGGCUUCCAAUCUCCUGAUGCAAUACCCACCCUGGAAUUCCACCAUUUCCUAGGAUAAGAAUCAUCUUGCCUUCCUUGCAAUUCAAGUGCUGCAUAUACAAUCAAAGCUAAUAUGUAAUUGGAGUACUACUGGGUGGAUGAAAAGUUUUAAGUGUCGUUAUUAAAUAAAAAUCGUACCUCAUUACUUGUUGGAUUGAACCAUUUGAGGAGGGAAGACCAGAGUAGAGAUGAUGGACUUGAUAACAUUUCCAGCUUCGUGCAAUGGUGGGCAUCUAUUUCUCGCAGACUCGAUGGAAGCUCUGGAAUGUCUUGGAGCAUCUUGCAGUGACUGAUAUCAAGGUAACGAAGCUUACAAAGUUGAGAGAUGCCAGAAGGUAUGCUAACCAUUAGAUUGCAGUGACUCAAAUUUAGUCGUUCUAAGGAGCAGAAGCCUUCCAGAUUCUUGGCAAACUUCUCCAAGUUUGAACAACAACCUCGUAGUGUCAGAUCUUCAAGGGAUCUCAAAUUAUAAAUGCUGUCUGUAAGAGUCACAAGGCAAUUGCUCAUAUCCAAACGCCUGAGGCUUUUCAGAUUUUGAAUUGAUGAUGGUAGCUCUUUUAUACCAGUUCCUCCUAACUCAAGAAAUUCUAAGUAUUUCAUAUCCUCCAUGAUUUCUGGAAAAGUAUCUAGAUUUGAACAAUCAUUGAGAGAGAGGAUCCCAAGGGACUUUAACCUGCAAAUGCUACUUGGAAGGCUCCUCAAGUUUUUGCAGUUUGACAAAUUUAAGCACUGAAGUUCAGUGAGAAGUUCUAUUGAGGAGGGUAAUUCCUUAAUACCACAUCCACGUAAGUGAAGAUAAGAUAAAGCUUUCAUAGGACUUCCCUUCAUCUCCGGAAAUUCCUCCAAGUUUGAGCAAAAAUCCAAGUCAAAAGUUUCAAGAGAGUCCAAGUAUUGAAUGCUACUUGGUAAACUCGUAAGGUUUUUGCACCCCCUCAAAUUCAACGUGGUAAGAUUCUUGAGAUCUCCAAUAGAUGGAUCAACAACAUUCAAACUCGUACAAUGUUCAAGUACUAACUCCUCUAGAUUUGGCAUAUUUGAGAACGAUAUUUCAGUGAGUUGCCUUGAUCUAGAUAAAUUUAAGAUCUUCAAUUGCUCCAAACACUGUGACAAAAGAAAUUUUGGUUUAGUAAAUGAAUUUUCGUGAAGAAAAAAUUAAUCUCAAACAAAAUAAUAUGAUCAUGAAAUACUAGAUAUACCUCAUUUCUUUGCCUUAGUUGUUUUAUGUUGCUAUCCUUCAUGUUGAGUUCAAUAAGGUUCACUCCAAGAAAAUUUGACGGCAAUGAUUUCAAAGGGUAUCCUUCCCAAUGAAGAUAUCUCAACUCAUGUGCAAGGAAUUGAAAAUCUUUAGGAAGAGUAACUUUCAAUUGCUUUUCCGUAGUACCACAAUAACCGCUUGAAUAAAUCUUGAGCAAUCUAAGUUGUUUCAUCUUUGCAAAAAUCUUUGUACUAAUUUGUAGUGGUGUCGAUCUCCACAAGUCCAAGAAUAUUGCCUCAACAUUUUUCAUCCCCUACAGAUAAUAACAAAGAAUUAGGCAAGCAUAAAAGAGAUAAAGCUAGCUAAAAUUUAAUGGAUAUGUAACUUAAACAAAAAUGAUAUUGCUCAAAUUUAAAUAUUUUUAUGAAGCUUAAGAAAGUUCAUGAGUUUGAUGGUUACCCCCAUUCUAAAUGCACGACACACAUCACUCGGAUCCCACAAUCUGCUCCAUUUUGUAGGAUCACCAGGAGAUUCACUACGAAUAAUGUUCCAUCCCAUUUCUUGUAUCAAAUCAUGCAUAAGUAUCUUGUUUUCAGAAAGAGAUAUAAGACACUUAUCACAGAGGCCUUUUAUUCCUCUCUCUGCAUACAAAUUACAACCGUCCAAUAUUCUUGAAACAAAGUCUUUGUCUUCCCCUUUAAAACAACAUGCAAUAUCAAGAAAUAUUUUCUUCUGUGUAUAAUCUAAUCCGUCAAAGCUUACUUUAAGCACAUUCUGAAUUUUCACUUCAGGUUCUCUUUCCAAUUUACACAAUUCACUUUCCCAUUGGAGUAUUGUCUUGUUAAACAAGAGAGAACCGAGGACUUUUAGAGCUAAAGGAAGGCCAUGACAAUAAUAGACUACACGAUCCGAGAGGUGGAUGAAGUCUUGUUUGGGAAGAUUCUGUCUAAAAGCAAAGAGACUAAAAAGCUCACGAGCUUGUUCAAAAUUUAAUUCCUCAACCUCAUAUAUGUCAUCCAUUUCAUGUAACAAAUGUGUAUUUCUAGUUGUUAUGAUGACUCUGCUUCCUCUUCCAAGCCAAUCACGAUUUCUGAGUAAAUAUUCCAAUUGAUCUGAAUCAUCAAUGUCAUCGAGAACAAUAAAAACUCUUUUACAUCGGAGAACAUUUUUUAUCAUAUUGGCUCCUUGGCUAACAUUGCUUACAUUUUGAUUUCUCUCCACUUGUAGUAGAUCACAUAGAAGUUGAUUUUGUAAAUGAUGCAAACCCAUAGUAUUGCCAACUUCUCUGACAUUUUCAAGAAAGCUCAUAUACUCAAAUUCAUGAGAAAAUGUAUUAUAUGCAAGUUUGGCGAUGGUCGUCUUACCCAUUCCGCCUAUUCCACAUAUACCAAUGAUACGGACAUCAUUCAAUUGAUCAACACAUAGCUUUCGAAUUAUCUCAUUUACAUGAGAAUCCAUACCAACCAAGUUGUCACCAACAUCCAACAUUCUACAAUUCAAUCUCCUGAAUAUAUCGUUGACGAUUUCGUUAACAUGCUCGGACUCAUACCUGUCAAUUGUAAAGUACAUGUGAUGAUUAAUUAAGUUAUAGCUAAUAAAAAAAAUAUAAAAAAGAUUAUACGUUAAGCUUCUUCAUGAGAAAUGAAUCAUAGUGAAAAAAAACAUAUCAAAAGUAUUAAGUUUUAAAACUUAAAUUACGUUUUUAGGACAUUUUCAUUGUAUCAAGUAUACAAGACAAUGAAAAUAAAAUAUGUAUUUGUUUAAUUUAUUUGCUUGUGAGACAUUGUCAAAUUGAUUUUUUUUUUUUUGGGAACAUUUAUAGGCUGCUAAGCAUGGAGCAAAUUUAUAUCAAACAAAAUCAUAUUGUAAUGACCCACUCUCUUGUGCAUAUGUAAAUAUCAUUUGCAGCUCUCUCUCUCUCUCUCUCUCUCUCUCUGUGUUAUGUGUAACAUUAUAAUUAUCCAAUCCCCUAUCCACAACGUAGACACAAGGUCUUCAUCAUGUCUCAUAAUAUCAUGGGUUUGCAGGUCUUCAGCGACUUUCUUGAUAUACUUUGAAUAUUUCAUGACUUGCAAUAAUCAUAAAUGACCUCCAAAUCUCUUCAACUAUUACUCUAUAAUCAUAAAAAUGUCUGAUUCCUGUGCCAGUAAAUAAAGCCUACUUAUAAAUGAAAGUUGAAGGGUAAUUAAUAAAGCGUUACCCAUCCUUCACAUGCUCUCCAGAUGUAUUUGCUGCUUCUGUCAAUGCACUCCUCCAACUUCGCACCUUCUCUUUCAUCUCUUCUGUAUCUUCUUUGUAAUAAGAAAAUGCCUCUCCAAAUCUUCCUGUCUGGUUUCGUACAUGGGAUGGAUCCACAUGGUAGAAAAUCGGUACCACAGUUUGUUUCAUUUCUUUCUUGCACUCCAUGAUCUUCACCAGCUCAUCUAAGCACCAUCUAGAACCAGCAUAGUUUUCCGAGAAAACUAUUAGGGAAAACCUUGAUUCUUCAAUAGCUUUUAGGAGUUCAGGUGCAAUCUCUUCUCCUCUCUUAAGUGAAUCAUCAUCUCUAAAGGUAUGAAUACCUCUUCGAAUCAAAUUUGCAUACAAGUGAUCUGUGAAAUUGAAUCGGGUGUCUUCACCUCUGAAACUCAAGAAAACAUCAUACUUCCAUUGUGGGAUGAAAGUAGAAAUAGAAGUAGAAGUAGAACUUGUGGAAGCCAUAGGAAACUUUUGCCAAAAUUAGAACUCAGAAGAGAUUUUGCAGAAUUGUGAAUGUAGAUUGUGCUGUUUUUUUUGCAAGAAUUUGGUGAUGAAAGACUUUGGGUCAAUGUUUCUGAGGAGGACACUGAGUACGGGGGCACUGAGUACGACUUUCUGAGGAGGACAGAUUUGAGUGUGAUUCAGUCCACCACGUGGAGCACUACAACUGUUCAUCGGUGACAGGGGGUUUUAAAAAGCAGCGCCUCAUAAAAAUCUCCUCCAACCAUUGCGAGUCUGUUUAAAUCCUCGUCUACUCGCUCUCUUCUUCUGCCACCUUUCUAAAUUAUUCUCAUCUCUAUUAAGUUAUGUUGGAUUUUCGUGUAAAGUAGUAAGAAGGAAAAAUAAAAAUAAAAGGUACCAUAAAUAUAUGAAAAGUAUCAAAUAUAUUUAAAAUUUAUCAAAAUUUUAUAUAUUUUAAAAUUAUUUAAUCUAUAUAUAAUAAAAAAAUUAAAUAAAAUAGAUUUUAAAAAAUAUAUAAAAAUAAUUUAUUAACUUAUAUGUAUUUUAUAUUCUCUUUCACUCUUUUUUUUUUUCUUAUUUUUUUGGAAUCUAACAGGGUCUCAAAUUUUUUUUUAAAGGGUUAAUUUCAUUAAUUUCCCUCAAAUUGUAGCUAAAUAUAUUUAUCUCCUAUAGUUUUAAAAUUUUAUUAUAUACCUUUCUUAUUUUGAUUAAAAAAAUAUGAGUAAAAAAUAAAAAAAAUAAAAAUUAUAAAAGAGAUAUUGAAUGAAAUUUCAAAUUUAAAAAAGUUAGACAUAUUUAGUCAAAGAGGUGAAUGAAAUUAAUAUUUUUUUUUAAUUAAAAAUAUUUGUACAUGAUAAGAAGAUCCCAAAUUAACGUAAUGAGACUCUUUUGCUUUCUCUAGAAUUACUAAAAUUAAGUGAUCAAGAAUUCCAACAUAUGAAACAGUGAGCACGCGCUGCCUGCAGAGGGGAUCACAAAGAUGGAGCAUCUUACUUAGGGUGAUGUCAGUGCCAGCUGGAAGGGUGGUGGUUGAAGAAUGAAUUAUUAUAGAGUGAGGGGGGUUCUUCGUUGGUACCCAUUCUCUCUUCAUUUUGGGUAACUACCCAUUUGACCCCAAUAAUAAAAUGAAAUAUGCAAAAUAUAUUUCAUUAAAAAAUUUAUAAAAAUUUAUCAACUCGAUAAAGAUGGUUUAUUGAUAAAACAUAAUCACAUGCAUUUCAUAUAUAUCUAAUUUAUUUAUUAAAGAUGACUUAUUGAUAAGAAAGAUGACUUAUUAGUAAAGUACUCAUAUUAAUUUGUUUGUUAAAAUUAAAACAACUUCAAUAUAUAUAAUAUUAAUUUUUUUAUUAUUUUUGGAGGUUUUGUUUUUUCAAUAUUUCUAUGAUGCUUGAAAUCAGGUUGUCAAUAUAUCUGUUAUAAUCGAUAUUUUCAUCCUUAGUUUAUUAUGAGUUCAGAAACAUGCGAUAUCAACCUAAUAUAAAAAAAUUGCAUUUGAAAGUGGUCUUUUGAAUAUGCUUCCGACCUAAUAUUCAACACCAAUAAUUGGACUUUUGAGUUAUGGUUAUUCUUCUAACCUAAUGUUGAAUUUCAACAACAAAAAACUUUGAUAAGUUGUUAGCAAUAUUUUUAGAAUCAAAUUGAGUAUUAAACCGAAAAUAUUGUUGAUUUACAGUUCAUUGAUCGAAUCGGUGGUCGAAUUAUGAUCAAAUCAAUGACAACAUAAAUAUAUAAUUUAUAUUUUAAUAAAAUUUAAAAUAAUUAUAAUAAAUUAAUAUGUAUAUAUAUAUAUUAUUAAAAUUUUUAAUAAUAUAUAUCGGAAAGCUCCUUUUAUUAUUAUCAAAGAUCCCAUAUCGGAAACCUAUAAACCAUUUAUGUGGUAUCUAUAUCUGCAAACCUUGGGAAUGAGCAAACGGGGCUGGGAGUGAAGGGAUCUGGGCCAGCAGAUGGGCAUCUCUACCUAUGCUUAAUAAAGGUUUUCUGCCUGAAGUAAAUGGGCUGGGAAUGGAUGAAUCUGGGCCGCUAGAUGAGUAAAAACCCAUUUAGUAAAAGAUGGAUACAGUAAAAGGACUAAAACAUAUAUUAUUUUAUACAAUGGGUUAAGGAAAUAUAAAAUUUUCUUGAAAGAAGGAAACAAUUAAUAUAUUUGGAAAACUCCAUAGUAAAUCAUAUAUUAUUCCAUACAAAAUUAAUUAUUUUUUAAAAAAUUCAUGGUAAAUCAAUGUUUAAUUUUUAUUUUUUUUUAUGUAAGUAUUAUGUUAAGGAGCCUAUUUAUUUUUAGAAUUUUUGUAUAUAAUUAAUUAAUGCGAUUAGUGCUAAAUUAUUGUGGAUGCAAUUUAGGAAAGCUGUAGGCCCUAAUUGUUUGACUCUUUAUAGCUUACAAUUAAUUAAUUAUUUUGAAAAUUUUUAUUUAAAAUUGUUGGAUUAAUAUUGUAUAAUAUAUAUUGUCGUGAUAUCGCAAUAUAUUAAUUAUUAAAAUAUAAUCUUAGUUUACUUUGAUUUUGUUAAUGUAAUAAAUGGAUAGACCACAUUAAUUCAAUGAUGUUAUUUUAAUAGUCAAAACAUAGGAAAUAUAAUCUUAAUUUAAAACAUUAAUGUACAUAUUUUUCUAAAUAAUGUAUAAUGAAAUUCUUCUUCUUAACAAUAAAUUUAUUUUCUGAUACACUUAUUUUUCUAGGAAAUGUACUUUUUUUCAAAAUGUAAUUGUUUUUUGGAAGGAUGUAAUUAUUUAUAUUAUUACAAAUAAGUGAAAGUUUAUAAACAAUUUAUGGUAAAAAAAAUUAAUGUAUAUAUAAUGUAGUUUUUUUAAAGAAAAAUAAUUAAUUUUCAAAAGGAUCUACUUAUUUUUAUAAGAGAUGUUUUUAAUUUUAUUUUUUAUAAUAUACUUAUUUUAUGAUGAAGGAUGUAUUUGUUUAUAUUGAUACAAAUAAUUGAAAGUUCAUUAGUUCUUUUAUGAUAAACCUUUUAUAUAUAUAUAUAUAAUUUAUUCAUUUUUCAUACUUAUUUUUUUAAAGAAUAUACUUAAAGGAUCCAAAAUGAAAGACGAAGCAAAUGAAAGUGUUUCGGCUGGUCUCUCCUACAGCAUUGAAAUCAAGGAUGCUUACAUUCCACCGUGGAUAAUAUCCAGUAUAUGAGUAACCAUGGGUUCGGAAGGGAGGAGCUUUGAGGCAAGGUAUGACAAAUUUUGGAUAUUACAUGACCUUUCAGUUUUCCUUGCUUAGAUAUGUAUGGAGUUGUCAUGUCUCAUUCUACAUCAAAGGAUGCUAGUUACGAAUACAUCAUGCUGAAGAAUUAGUACACCCUGUUAAAAAAUAAGCGCAUCGGAUCAACAUCAAGGUGGGGAUCACUCUACUAAAUGGUGGCAAGUCUGGCUUCAAGAAUGGCAGUGCAGUGGUUCUCAUGGUGGUUAGAAGGGCAGCAGGGUGCUCCAGAGUCCAGCCAUGGUGGUGCUAAGUCAACAUUGAUUCUUCAGUUGUUGUAACCUGUACAUAGAAUGAUGGUUUUGGAUUGCCUCAAGAUUUUACUAAGAAGAAGAAGAAGCAGAAGAUAAGACAUUGAAGGUACAGUAAAGAAUUUAAGCAACAACUCCAAUCCCUUUGUUAUAUAGACUUGAAGGAGAAAUGAAGAUGACUUACAAUUACAACUGUAAGGAAACCCUGCAUUUGAAGACAUCCUUCCUAGGUAGAGCUUUUAAAUGAUUAAAAACAUGAACAACUCUAUGCUUGAAAUAUGCAAAUCAAAAUCAACAAUAAAUAGAAAUAAGAAGCUGAAAAAACUGUCACGUGAUGCUAUUGUCAUUCUAGGAACAAAUCCCUCACUUUAAGACUCUUUUACUUUUAGAAUAUUCCACCAUCAACCCAUGAUCAGCCAUAUUUCCAUAAGGAUUCAUAUUAAUUUAAGAUGGAUUUAUUAUAGAACUAAAAUGAGAAUACAUUUUAAAAUGUUUAUUGGGAGUAAUUCAAUUAUAUUUCAAUAUAUAUUUGAAAAAUAACACUACUAAGAAAUUUAAGAUACUUGCCAUAAUUGAUGAUAAAAAUAUGAAAAUAAUUUUAGACAAAAGUUUUGAUCUAGAAAAAUCAACAAUUUUAAUUUUGUUGUUGUCCUAUAUAUAGUAGCUUGAGAUAUAUACUUCACUCCGAAUGCAUUCCAAAUUUGAGUUAUAGAUGGAUAUGUUCUUCACUAUUUAAGUUUAAUCGAUAAUUUGUUCCAAAUAUGAAUUUCUGAAACUAAGUGUUUAGCUAAUCUAAAAGAAACAAAGUCAAGUUUUAGGCAUUAGGGUUCGGAUUUCCAAACUCAAUAAAGUUAUAAAAUGGCUAAUAUUUAAGGUGAACCAUGUUGAAAAUUAAGUGUCUCAAAUUCCUAAUUUUGAUGUAUUCUUUUUUGUAGAAAUGAUAUUAUAUAGAGAAUUUUCAAAGUUCAUAUGUGAUUGUAAUUAAAUUCUUUAUAGAAUAAAAAACUUAGUAAGAAUAUCUCUCUAAAUAUUCUACGUCAUGAGAGGAAAAAUGUUAUAAUAUAAGAUAGAGAUAGAGAUAAGAAGAAAAGUAAGAGAUAUUUGAUGGAGUAAGAAUGCUUACAACUGAAGUUAAAGACAUAAAGACUAGGAAAACGAUGGAUGUUUAGGGACCCAAAAGUUGUUUAUGUUUUGUUAUCUGUAAUAUUUUUUUAUUAUAUAGUGAAAUGUUAUCUCUUAUUUGUAGGUGUAGACAUACAUGUUGACUAAACCAUGCAUUUUAAAGCUUUGACACCUUUAUAUGUGGAUUAUCUUUACUUUAUGUGUUCUUUCAUUCAUAUAUUUACAUUGAAACUUUUGCUAGCCCAAUAAAUGGUAUUAGAGCUUUUGUUGGCCUAACAAACUUAAUGUUGUCCUUUCAAGAUGUAAUGAAAAGGCCUUUUAAAGGAUUUGUAUUUUAUCAUAAAAUAGAAAAGAAAGAAAAAAAACAUUAGAGAAUUUCGACUCCUUCUAACCACUUGGCAAUAUAUUUAUCUUAUAUUGAAGAUAAAUAACUAGUCCAAAUUUUAUGGUGUUAUAUAGUCCACACAUAGAUUAAAGUAAUUAAGGAGGAAGAUGGCUUACCAGUAAGUUUCCAUGAGGGCUUGAAUGAACAAAUAAAAUAGAGAGAUGGUGGAAUAUAAGGACUUAGCUAGCAAGCGCACCUGGCAAUGGAGCUUAAAGCUUGAGAUCAGUGCUGGAUGCUCUCAAUCUUUUACGGCAAGGUUCCCGAUCAUCUGCUUGGUUUUUCCCGGCAUCAUCAUGGCCUCUUUGAUGAUCCAACAACAUAGGCACACUGCUGUUUAGAGAAUCACGGGUGUACAUCAGCUGAACCCCGCACCUCUUGAUAUUGGGAUGAGUAACCUCACCAUUAAUCCGGGUAGAAAAAUCAAACGCAGCCAGAAAGUGCCAUGGUUGAUUGCGGUGGUACUUAUUUGGAAUAGCAUUCUUAGGAUAGAGAGUCACCCACAAUUCAUCUGAUACAUCACCAUUAAUCUCGUGACAUUUACACAAAGAAUCCAUGGAGAGGUGAUCCACAACUUCAUCCGAAUCACCGUGCAAUGUCAGAUCAAAAUAAUAUGGAACCUCAAAAUGAUUCCCUUUAUGAUAAAGAAAGAAGAAAGCCAAUCCCAGAAAGUGGUCAUCCUCGUACCAAUUCAAAGGAAGCUCUAUUCUUACUUGGCUUCCAAUCUCCUGAUGCAACACCCACCCUGGAAUUCCACCGUUUCCCGGAAUAAUAAUUACCUUGCCUUUCUUCCAAUUCCGAUUCAUGUACUGCAUAUACAAUCAAAGCUAAUAUGUAAUUGGAGUACUACUAGGUGGAUGAAAAGUUUUAAGUGUCGUUAUUAAAUAAAAAUCAUACCUCAUUACUUGUUGGAUUGAACCGUUUGAACCAUUUGAGGAAAGGACAGAGUAGAGAUGAUGGACUUGAUAACAUUUCCAGCUUCGUGCAGCCGUGGGCAUCUAUUUGUGGUAGACUUGAUGAAAGCUCUGGAAUUUCUUGGAGCAUCUUGCAGUGACUGAUAUCAAGGAGACGAAGUCUACAAAGUUGAGUGAUGCCAGAUGGUAUGCUAACCAUAUGGUUUCCACUUAGAUUUAAUGUACACAAGGAAUAUAGACCCCAGAUAUCAGUGGGUAUCGACCCUUCCAUUAGAUUGCAGUGACUCAAAUCUAGUUCUACUAAGGUGCAUAAGCCUUCCAGAUUCUUGGGAAACUUCUCCAAGUUUGAACAACCAGGGAGUAUCAAUCGUUUAAGACAUCUCAAAUCAUUAAUGCUGUCUGGAAUAGUCACAAGGUUCUUGCAAUUGCUCAAAUACAACAUUUGGAGGCUUUUCAGAUUUUGAAUUGAUGAUGGCAGUUCUUUUAUAGCUGUUCCUUCCAAACCAAGCACCUCUAAGUAUUUCAUACCCUCCAUGAUUUCGGGAAAGUUCCGUAGGCUUGAGCACCCAUUGAGAAAGAGUCGGCGAAAAGAUUUAAACCUACGAAUGCUGCUUAGAAGACUCCUCAAGUUCUUGAAAUCACUCAAAAACAAUGAAUUAAUAUUAAGAAGAUGUUCCAUUGAUGAUGGUAGCUCUUUUAUACCUGUUCUUGAAUCAAGAAAUUCUUUCAUAUCCUCCAUGAUUUCUGGAAAAGCAUCUGGAUUUGAACAAACAAAGAGUAGGAGGUCUUCAAGGAGAUAUUUUAUUGCGGAGGGUAAUUCCUUAAUAGCAGAUCGAUCAAAGUGAAGAUAAGUUAAAGCUUCCAUAGAACUCUCCUCUAUCUCCAGAAAUUUCUCCAAGUUUGAGCAAUUAUUCAAGUAAAUAGUUUCAAGAGAGUCCAAGUAUUGAAUGCUACUUGGUAAGCUCGUAAGGUUUUCACACCCACUCAAACUCAACAAAGUUAGCUUCUUGAGAACUCCAAUAGAUGGAUCAACGAUAUUCAAACUUGUACAAUAUCCAAGUUCUAACUCCCCUAGAUUUGGCAUAUUUGAAAAGUUUGAUAUUUCAGUGAGCUGCUUUGAUCCUAGUAAAUUUAAGAACUUUAACUUUCCCAAACACUGUGACAAAAGGAAUUUUGAUUUAGUACAAAAUGAAUUUUCAUGAACAAAAAAUUAAUCUCAAACAAAAUAAUAUGAUGAAAUACUAAUUAUACCUUAUUUCCUUGCCAAAGUUGUUUUAUUUUGCUAUCCAUCAUGUUGAGUACAACAAGGUUCUCUCCAUGAAAAUUUGACGGCAAUGAUUUCAAAGGGUAUCCUUUCCAAUGAAGAUAUCUCAACUCUUGUGAAGGAAAUUGAAAAUCUUCAGGAAGAAUAAUUUUAUACUCCUUUUUCAUGAAACCACAACAAUCCAUCCCAUAAAUCUUGAGCAAUCUAAGUCGUUUCAUCUUUGCAAAAACCUUUGUACUAAAUUGUAGUUGUUUUGAUCUAGACAAGUUUAAGAAUAUGGCCUCAACAUUUUUCAUCCCCUACAAACAAUAACACAGGAUUAGGCAAACAUAAAAAAGAUAAAGCUAGCUAAAAUUGUAUGGAUAUGUAACUUAGACAAAAAUGAUAUUGCUCACAUUUACGUAUUUUAAUGAAGCUUAAGAAAGUUCAUGAGUUUGAUGGUUACCUUCUUCAUUGUAAAUGCACGAUACACAUCACUCGGAUCCCACAAUCUGCUCCAUUUUCCAGGAUUAUCAGGAAAUUCACUACGAAUAAUGUUCCAUCCCAUUUCUUGUACCAAAUCAUGCAUAAGUAUCUUAUUUUCAGAAAGAGAUAUAAGACACUUAUCAUAGAGGACUUUUAUUCCUAUCUCUGCAUACAAAUCACAACUAUCCAAUAUCCUUGAAACAAAGUCUUUGUCUUCCCCUUUAAAAAAACAUGCAAUAUCAAGAAAUAUUUUCUUCUGUGUAUGAUCUAAUCCGUCAAAGCUUACUUUAAGCACAUUUUGAAUUUUCACUUCAGGUUCUCUUUCCAAUUUACACAAUUCACUUUCCCAUUGGAGUAUUGUCUUGUUAAACAAGAGAGAACCGAGGACUUUUAGAGCUAAAGGAAGGCCAUGACAAUAAUAGAUUACACGAUUCGAGAGGUGGAUAAAGUCUUGUUUAGGAAGAUUUUGUCUAAAAGCAUAGAGACUAAAAAGCUCACGAGCUUGUUCAAAAUUUAAUUCCUCAACCUCAUAUACGUCAUCCAUUUCUUGUAACAAAUGUUUACUUCUAGUUGUUAUGAUGACUCUGCUUCCUCUUCCAAGCCAAUCACGAUUUCUGAGUAAAUAUUCUAAUUGAUCUGAAUCAUCAAUGUCAUCAAGAACAAUAAAAACUCUUUUAAAUCGGAGAACAUUUUUUAUCAUAUUGGCUCCUUGGCCAACAUUGCUUACAUUUUGAUUUCUCUCCACUUGUAGUAGAUCACAAAGAAGUUGAUUUUGUAAAUGAUGCAAACCCAUAGUAUUGCCAACUUCUCUAACAUUUUCAAGAAAGCUCAUAUACUCAAAUUCAUGAGAAAAUUUAUUAUAUAUAACUUUGGCGAUACUCGUCUUACCCAUUCCACCUAUUCCACAUAUACCAAUUAUACGAACAUCAUUCAAUUGAUCAACACAUAGCUGCCGAAUUAUCUCAUUUACAUGGGAAUCCAUACCAACCAAGUUGGCACCAACAUCAAACAUUCUACAAUUCAAUCUCAUGAAUAUGUUGUUGACGAUUUUCUUAAUAUGCUCAGACUCGUACCUGCUAAUUGUAAAGUACAUGUGAUGAUUAAUUAGGCUAUAGCUGAUUAAAAAACAAAUACAUGUUAAGCUUCUUCAUGAAAAAUGAGUUAUAGUAAAAAAAAAUUAUAUCAAAAGUAUUAAGUUUUAGAACUCAAAUUACAUUUUUAGGACAUUUUUAUUGUAUCAAGUAUACAAGACAAUGAAAAUAAAAUAUGUAGUGAGACAUUGUCAAAUUGAUUUUUUUUUUUGGGAACAUUUAUAGGCUGCUAAGCAUGGAGCAAAUUUAUAUCAAACAAAAUCAUAUUGUAAUGACCCACUCUCUUGUGCAUAUAUAGAUAUCAUUUGCAGCUCUCUCUCUCUCUCUAUGUUAUAUGUAACAUUAUAAUUACCCAAUCCCCUAUUCACAAUGGAGACACAAGGUCCUAAUCAUAUCUCAUAAUAUCAUGGGUUUGCAGGUCUUCAGUGACUUUCUUGAUAUACUUUGAUUCAUGAGUUGCAAUCAUAAAUGACCUUCAAAUCUAUUCAAGUAUUACACUGUAAUUAUAAAAAUGCCUGAUUCCUGUAGCAGUAAAUAAAACCUAACUUAUAAAAGAAAGUUGAAUGGAAAUUAAUAAAGCUUUACCCAUCCUUCACAUGCUCUCCAGAUAUAUUGGUUGCUUCUGUCAAUGCGCUCCUCCAACUUUGCACCUUCUCUUUCAUCUCUUCUGAAUCUUCUUUGUAAUUAGAAAAUGCCUCUCCAAACUUUCCUGUCUGGUUUCGUACAUGGGAUGGAUCCACAUGGUAGAAAAUCGGUACCACAGUUUGUUUCAUUUCUUUCCUGCACUUCAUGAUACUCACCAGCUCAUCUAAACACCAUCUGGAACCAGCAUAGUUUUCCGAGAAAACUAUUAGGGCAAACCUUGAUUCUUCAAUAGCUUUUAGGAGUUCAGGCGCAAUCUCUUCCCCUCUCUUAAGUGAUUCAUCAUCUCUAAAGGUAGUAAUACCUCUUCGAAACAAAUUUGCAUACAAGUGAUCAGUGAAAUUGAAUCAGGUGUCUUCACCUCUAAAACUCAAGAAAACAUCAUACUUCCAUUGUGGGAUGAAAAUAGAAAUAGAAUUUGUGGAAGCCAUAGGAAACUUUGCCAAAAUUAGAACUCAGAAGAGAUUUUGCAGAAUUGUGAAUGUAGAUUGUGCUGUUUUUUAGCAAAAAUUUGGUGAUGAAAGACUUUGGGUCAAUGUUGUGUACAGAGAAAAAAAAAAGAGUGGGUAGCGCCCCAUAAAAAUCUCCUCCAACCAUUGCGAGUCUGUUUAAAUCCUCAUCUACUCGCUCUCUUCUUCUGCCACCUUUCUAAAUUAUCCUCAUCUCUAUUAAGUUAUGUUGGAUUUUCGUGUAAAGUAGUAGGAAGGAAAAAUAAAAGUAAAAGGUACCAUAAAAAUAUGAAAAGUAUCAAAUAUAUUUAAAAUUUAUAAAAAAUUUAUAUAUUUUAAAAUUAUUUAAUCUUUAUAUAAUAAAAAAAUAAAAUAAAUUUUUAAAAAUAUAUAAAAAUAAUUUAUUAACUUUAUAUUUAUUUUAUAAUUUCUUUCACUCUUUUUUUCUUCUUUCAUAUUUUGCCUUUAAAUUUUUUGGAAUAAAAAAGGGUCUUAAAAUUUUUUUAAAAGGGUUAAUUUCAUUAAUUUCCCUCAAAUUGUAACUAAAUACAUUUAUCUCCUAUAGUUUUGAAAUUUCAUUAUAUACCUUUCUUAUUUUGGUUAAAAAAAUGAGUAAAUAAAAAAAUAAAAAUUAUAAAAGAGAUAUUUAAUGAAAUUUUAAAUUUAAAAAAGUUAGAUAUAUUUAGUUAAAGAGGUGAAUGAAAUUAAUAUUUUUUUUGAAUUAAGAAGAUCCCAAAUUAAGAUAGUUGCAUAAUUAGACUCUUUUGCUAUUAUUUGUUUUUAAAAACUAGCAAAGUUAUUAAAAUAAUUUCAUAAAUAUUUAAUUAUUUUUUGCUUUCUCUAGAAUUACUAAAAUUAAGUGAUAAAAAAUUCCAACAUAUGAAACAGUGAGCACGCGCUGCUGCAGAUGGGAUCACGGAGAUGGAGCAUCUUACUUAGGGUGAUGUCAGUGGCAGCUGGAAGGGUGGUGGUUGAAGAAUGGAUUAUUAUAGAGUGAGACUUGUAGGAAUGGUGAAUGGGAACAAAAUUUGUUGUCUACUUCAAUUUGCUAUACCUUUGUUUAUCUUAUUCAUAUUUUAUGUGAUUUUUCUCCACUCACACCUCACCAUGCGUUCAAACAUACGACUCUUGAGGAUGCUAUGGGAUUUCUCAAAUGACGGGCACUUCCUUAAAUUUACAAAAUAACAUAUGACUCCCUAAUUCUCUGGGCACUUGCCUCAUAAAUAUGGCAAUGUUUCCUCUUCCAUGUUCAUUUUUAAAGCUAACUAGAAAAAUAACAUAACUUGCUAGGGAAGGGGCUUGGAACCAGAGACAUUGAGCAAGGGAUGACAGCCUCUUACCACCAAACUACUUGGGUAUUAUAAAACCACAUAAAUUCUAUUAUAUCUUUUAUAUUUUAUAAAUUAUAAAUUAAUUCAAAUCAAAUUAUUUUAAAUUAAUUAAUUUUAAUUAUUUUAUUAUUUAUGUUAUAAAAUAAUUAAAUAUAAGGCAAAUAUUAAUUUUUAAAUAAAAUUAUUGAUAUUUUUAAAUAAAAAAAACUUACAUAUAUUAUUAUUUAUUUUAUAUCCUUCAAUAUAUAUUAAUUUGUUUGUUAAAAUUAAAACAACUUCAAUAUAUAUAUUAUUAAUUUUUCUAUCAUUUUUGGAGGUUUUUUUUUUUUUUUAAUAUUUCUAUGAUACUUAAAAUCAGGUUGUCAAUAUAUUUGUUAUAAUCGAUAUUUUCAUCCUUAGUUUUUGAUGAGUUCAGAAACAUACGAUAUCAACCUAAUAUAAAAAAAAAAUUGCAUUUGAAUGUGGUUUUGUGACUAUGCUUCGGACCUGAUAUUCAACAUCAAUAAUUGGACUUUUGGGUUAUGAUUAUUCUUUUAACCUAAUAUGGAAUUUCAACAACAAAAAACUUUGAUAAGUUGUUAGUAAUAUUUUUUUAAUCAAAUCGAACAUUAAACCAAAAACAUUAUUGGUUUACAGUUCAUUGGUUGGAUUGGUGGUCAAAACUAUAAUCAAACUAAUGACAUCAUAAAUAUAUAAUUUAUAUUUUAAUAAAAUUUAAAAUAAUUAUAAUAAAUUAAUAUAUAUAUAUAUUAUUAAAAUUUUUAAUAAUAAUUUAUUUUUUAUGUGAAAUUAAAUAAUAAAUAUAAAUAUAAAUGUACCAAUAUAUUAAAAUUUAUUAAAUAGAAUAUGUAUAAUAUUUAAAUAUGAAAGUAUAUAUAAGAUGAAAAGAAAAUUAUAAUAUUUAAUUUAAUUAUAUAUCUAUGUAUUUUGUUAUUUUAAAAUUAUUAUAUUGAUUAAUUUAUAUUGUUUGAAUGUUUAUAAUUAAUAAUUAUUAUAAAAAUAAUAAUAGAUAAAAAUAUUUAUAUUUGUUUAAAUGUUUUAUAUGAUAAAAAUUUUAAGAACAGAUAAAUAGAUAUUUACCAAAUUAUUAAUCAAACAACUGCGUAGCAUGGUGCUGUGUCCUUCAUUUUGUUUAACCAUAAGUCACACGUUCAAUUCCCCACCAUGCAAAGCUCCUUUUAUUAUUAUCAAAGAUCCCAUAUCGGAAACCUAUAAACCACUUAUGGGUAUCUAUAUCUGCAAACCUUGGGAAUGAGCUAACGGGGCUGGGAGUGAAGGGAUCUGGGCCAGCAGAUGGGCAUCUCUACCUAUGCCUAAAGGUCUUCUGCCUGAAGUAAAUGGGAUGGGAAUGGAUGAAUCUGGCCCGGUAGAUGAGUAAAAACCCACUUAGGUUUUGACCUUGACCGGCCCGUGAAUAACCGAACGGUCCAGUCCGGUUUUUAAAACAAUGGUUGUUAGUGUUGGAUUUCUCAUUGUCUCAUCUUAUUUUUGUGUUUACAAAUCAAUAAAGGAAAUUUUUUAGCAAAAUCAAUUUUUAGUUGAAAAAUAUGUAACAUAUGAUACGGAACACAAUUAGAUUAUCAAGGAUUUGAUCGGCCCGUAAAAAAUCGAUCCAGUCUGAUUUUUAAAACAAUGGGUGUUAGUGUUGGAUUUCACAUUGUCUCAUCUUAUUUUUGUGUUUACAAAUCAGUAUCUAAUAUUUGAUUAUGAAAGGAAAGGAAAUUUUUUAGCAAAAUCAAAUUUUAGUUGAAAAAUAUGUAACAUAUGAUAUGGAACACAAUUAGACUAUCAAGGGAUGUCUAUUCAUAGAUACAUUUGUCCCAAAUUAUCAAAGAUUAAUAGUUUUUUAAUCCAAUAUUUGAAAUGUAGGGUAAGUAGACAACUAAAAAGCUAGAGUUGAGUAUAAUUCUUUUGAAAGAAAGAAUUUGAGCAUUUCAUACAAUAGUCCUUUUUUCACAAGACAAUAACAUUAGAAGAAUAUUGUGAAUUUAGUAAAAGAUGGAUAUAGUAAAACUACUAAAAUAUAUAUUAUUUUAUACAAUGGUUGAAGGAAAAAUAAAAUUUUCUUGAAAGAAGGAAACAAUUAAAAUAUUUGGAAAACUCCAUAGUAAAUCACAUAUUAUUCCAUACAAAAUUAAUUAUUUUUUCAAAAAUUCAUGGUAAAUUUUCUGUAAUCAAACAUAGUGUUAAUUUUUUUGUUAAAGGGUUAAUUUCAUUAAUUUCCAUCAAAUUGUAGCUAAAUAUAUUUAUCUCUUAUAGUUUUGAAAUUUCAGUAAUUUCUUAUUUUGGUUAAAAGAAAAGAUGAGUAAAAAUAAAAAUAAAAAAAAUUAUAAAAGAGAUAUUAAAUGAAAUUUUAAAUUUAGAAAAGUUAAAGAUAUUUAGACAAAGGAGGUGAAUGAAAUUAAUUUUUUUUUGAAUUAAAAAUAUUUUGUUUAUGAUAAGAAGAUCCCAAAUUAACAUAGUUGCAUAAUGAGACUCUUUUGUUAUUAUUUGUUUUUAAAAAUUAGCAAAGUUAUUAAAAUAAUUUCAUGACAUGAGGGCAAAUAUUUAAUUAUAAUCAUAGUUCAAUUUAAAUAAAAUUCUCUAAAUAAAAAAAAUAAAAAAAUAAAAAUUCUUUUCACUAACUCAUAAAUGCCAUUAUGGUCUAAUUUCAUAUUAUCAUCAAAGUCUCCAUCCCAAGUCUCAAACAAAAAUUCCUAUAGUUCAUUCACAACCAACUAGAGUCAAACUAUAUAUACUUAAAUUCACUAAAUUAGUAUAAGUUCAAAGGUUUAACAAAAGUGAUUGUUAAAAUUUUUAAGUAGCUCAUUAACCUCCUAGGACAUUUCAGAACCCUCCGUGAUGCCCCUAUAAGUUUUCAAGAAUAAUAUCUACAUCUAAAAUAUUUUUAUAAGAAAAAAGUGAGCAUUUUCCCAUUUUAAAUCACCCCUAUAAGUUUUCAAGAAUAAUAUUUACAUCUAAAAUAUUUUUACAAGAAAAAAGUGAGCAUUUUCCCGUUUUAAAAUAGUGUCUUAAAUACCAAAUGGUUAGUGGGUAAUCAUUAAGGGUUAAGUACAUUAAAACAAACAUUUAAACAUAAAAUAACCAUUCAAACAUUAAUCCAAAUGUUUUUCUUUUAACAUGAAUAUACAACCUACACAUAUUUUGAUAAUUAAAUAAAAAUACAAAUAGAGAUAUAAUACAUAAUCAUACGAUGUGUCUAUAAUCAAAUACAAUCCCCAUUCAAAGUUUUAUUGGGGUCAAUUUUUGUGUCUUUUACAUUAGAAAUUUUGCUCUCUUUUUAAUUCACCCACUUAGGGCACUUUGUUUUUCACUUUUUUUUUAAUCCAUUUCAUAAAAUUUUUAAUUAUUAUUAAUUUUUUUCUCACACAACUAUGAUUCAAACUGAAUGCAUUACGUUCAUAUAUUAGAAACUAUUAUUUUCAUAAUACAUUUGUAUUUUCUUUUCAGUUGUAGUCUAAUUGUCUCAAACAACACCAAUAAUUUGUUUUUUCAAUUAUCAUAAAUUUUAUUAUCAAUAAAUGAUUAUUUAAUUAUUUUCAUUAACCAAAAAUUCAUAAAUCCUCAAAAAGUAAAAUCUAAACAAUAAUUAUAUAUCAAAUCACAUGCAAGAAUCAUAAGUAUAAACAAAUCUAUCUCACAACAACAUCUAUAAUUUUUUUUUUUAAAACAUAUUAAAUAAAAAUUUCGAGGAUAAGUCAUCCUACCAAAUACCAAAACCCAAUCGUUAAGUUUAAAAUUAGACUCCGUACCAAAAUUUCCCAUGUGAAAUAAAAUAUCCUCGUAGAAUUUCACAUGGAACAACCUUUUGAUGACCUAUGAUACAUGCCCUCUUUUCUUUUCUAUUUCCUUUUUUAGUUUUUAAUUUUCUCAUUUCUUUGUACUUGCGUCCAACCAUUUCUCCUUUUUCUUUUUCUUUUUAAUUCUUCAUCAUCACUUCCACACCACUUUCGGCUUCUUUUAUUAUUAUUAUUAUUACAAUUUUUCCGUAUUAUUUUUAUACAUAUCCUUUAAAAUAUUUAAUUCUCUACAAAUUAUUUUUAUUAUAAAAUAUAUAUUUUUUCCAAACUAUCAUUUAAAAAAAAUUAAAUUUAUUAUUUCUGAAUAAAAUAUAUCUCCUAAUAAUACUAAUCAUAUAUUUACAUUUUUUUCAAACUUAAUUAAUUUUCAACAAAUCAAGAUUAUUAAUUCUAAUAGUAGUUAAUACUUAACUUUCUAAAAAAAUUUAUUUAGUAAAGCUGAUAUGAUAUGACGCAAAUUUAACUCAUUCGACCAUUAGAAUUCUUUGAAUUUUUCUAAUUCUUUGGCCCGUGUUCUACAGUUUUUACUUUUCAAUCAUAACUUGUUAGAAAAGUUUGAGCGUGAUUCAGUCCACCACGCGGAGUGCUACAGCUGGUCGUCGGUCACGGUCAGUCCAGUUGUCACCGACAAUGGGUGUUAAAAGGCCCCGUCUUUUCCUCUUCCUGCCCAUAAAAAUCUCUCCCUCUUCCUCCCUUCAACCAUUGCGAGCAUGCUUAAAUCUCAUUUACUCGCUCUAUUCUUCUGCCACCUCUUUAGGUUAUGUUUGGUUCAAAAAAAUACUAAGGAAAGAAAAAAAAUACAAAGAAAAAUUAUUUUUUCAUGUUUGGUUGUCAUAUGAAAAAUAUCAAAGAAAAUCAAAUAUAAUUAAAACUAAUUAAAAACUUAUAUAUUUUUAAAUUAUUUAAUCUUUAUAUUAAUGAGUUAAAAUAAAUAAAAUGAGUUUGAAGUAACAAAAAAAAUAAUUUAUCAACUUUUAAUCUUUUUUUUUAUAUUUUUCUUCACUUUUUCUUUCCUUCUACUUUUUCUUUAUAUUUUCUUUCUUUUGCAUUUUCCUUCAAAUUUUCUGGGAACCAAACAUAGCCUUAAAUUUUUCUCAUCUUUUAGGCUAUGACUGGUUGUCAAAAAGUGUUAAAGAAAAGAAAAGAAAAGAAUUUAAAAAAUGGUUUUCUCUUUGAUUUAUUUAUAUAAAAUUUAAAAUAAAAUAAAAUAUAAUUAAAAUUUAUCAAAAAUAUAUAUUUUAAAAUUAUUUAAUUUUUAUAUAAUGAAGGAAAAUAAAUGAAAUAAAUUUUAAAAAACAUAUAAAAAUAAUUUAUUGAUUUUAAACGUAUUUUUUAAUUUUCUUCUUCUUUUUUUUUUUUUUAUAUAUUUUCUUUCCUUCUUAUUUUUCCUUAAAUAUUUUAAAACCAGACAUAGCCUUAAACUUUUUUUUGAGGGGCUAAUUUUAUUUGCCUCUUUCAAGAUUUUGGCUAAAUAUAUUUAGUUUCUAUUGGUUUGAAAUUUCAACAAUUUAGCAUAUACCUUUUUUGUUUUGAGUGAGAAAUGAGAUAAGUAAAAAUGAAAAAUGAAAAUGAUAGGAGAGGUAUUUAAUGAAAUUUUAAGUUUAUGAAGACCAGAUGUAUUUAACCGAAACCUUAGAAAAUGUGAACCAAAUUAAACUUUUUUUGAGUAAAAAUGUUUUAUACAUGUGAUUCACGUGAUGCCAAAUAAAUAUACUUGCAUUAUGAGACUUUUUUGUUAUCAUUUAUUUUUAAAAACUAGAAAAGUUAUUAAAAUAAUUUCAUGACACAAAGAUAAAUAUUUAUUUAUUUAUUUUAACAUUUUAUGAUUGUGCAUUUGUGAUAUUAUUGAAAAAUAUUUCUACAUUUUUCUUACCACGAAAAAAAAAAUCAAUUAUUAGAACAAUCUAAAUUUCUAAGUAUUUUAAGGACUAAAUUGGCUCCAUCAAAGCAUAAUUAAAUGAAGGAGUUGAACAAAUUAGAAAAAUAUCAAAAAAGACACUUUAAAAAUAUAUUGCUAUUAGAAAUUAGAAAUUAAUUAUCAUUGGAAUUAAAAAACACAUUUAAUAUGAAAAAAAUUCCAAUAUAUGAAACAAUGGCUAAAGAGAGUGAGAGACACGCGCUAUUGCAGAUAGGGUUAUGGAGUGUUGAAGUAGAGAGAGGAUUAUUGAGAAACAAUGACUUGACUUUUCCAUUGAUUAAGAAUGAAUAUAUAUACACAAAACCUAAAACACAAAAAUCGGAAACAAUCUACCCAAAACACCAAAAAUAAGAAACAAUCCUAAAAUUAACCCAAAAUACAAAAAUAGAAAACAAUCAUAAAAUUAGGGGAUUACAACAAAAAUAGGAAAUUACAACUAAUUACAAGAAUUUGAAAAUAGAAAGAAAAUCUAUUGUAAUGAAUUCUCUAAUAUGCCCCCUCAAGAUGGAGUUCCGGAGGAGACGCCAAUCUUGACUCGUAAUUCUUGGAAGCGGCUUUGUGGAAGCGGUUUAGUAAACGUCGACAAGUUGAUAUGCUGAGGAAACAUGAGUAACAUGAAGAGCACCUGAUUGAACAAAGUGAUAGUCAAUUGCCACAUGUUUUAUGCACGAAUGAAAGACUGGAUUAGAACAAAGAUAGGUGGCACCAAAAUUGUCACAAUAGAUAACAUGCGGUGUAGGAAGAGUGACGCCAAGCUUUGUGAGAAGUGAACAAAUCCAAUUGAUUUUUGAAGUAGUAGCAGCAACUGAUCGAUACUCAACCUCUGUGGAUGACCGAGCAACUGUACGUUGUUUCUUGGAUGACUAAGAAAUUGGAUGACAACCAAAAUAGACAAUAUAGGCACUCUUAGAGGUAUAGUCAUUUUUGUUGCCAACCCAAUCUAAAUCUGAGAAGGCAUGAAGAGAAAGUGUAUUUUCCUUAUGAAGAAAUAAUCCAUGAGUCAAUGUGCCACACAGAUAUUGAAGCUGUCGUUUUGCAGCAUUCCAAUGUUUAGACGUCGGACGAUGCAUGAAUUGGGAUAACUUGUUAACAUCAUCUGAUAGGUUUGGGCGAGUGAAGCAAAGAUACUAUAGACUGCCAACAAGGGUUUUAUAUUCUGUGCAGUUAGUCAAAGUUGUACUUGAAUGAAGUGUGAGAUUUCCAUCUAUAACAAGUGGUGUAGCAAUAGGUUUUGCAUCAGACAUUUUUGUCUGGGCAAGAAGAUUGGAGAUGUGGCGCCUUUGAGUAAGCAACACACCAAAUGGAGUGGUAAGAACCUCAAUGCCGAGAAAGUAAAAUAAGGCGCCAAGAUCCUUGAUUGAAAAUCAUCGUGCCAAGAGGUCAAUGUAGCGCUGAAUAAUAUUGGUGUUGGUACCUGUGAUAAUAAUGUCAUCCACAUAAACAAGUAGAUACAUAGUAAUGUCACCUGAGUGGAGAAUGAAUAGAUAAGUGUCUGCAUGAGAGUUUGUGAACCCAAACUCAAUGAGGAAUUGACGAAAUUCAAUAUACCAAGCCCGUGGGGCUUGCUUGAGUCCAUAUAUAGCCUUCUUUAAUUUGCAUACAUGUGUUGGAUUGUCUUUAUCAACAAAUCCCGGAGGAUUAUUAUGGAGUGAGACUCCUAGGGAUCGUGAAUGGGGGAACAAAAUUCGGUGUCUACUUCAAUCACUCUAAAGUCUUGUCAUGUUUACUUCUUUGCUAUAACCUUGGUUUAUUUUAUUCUCCACUACCUUGCCUUUUCUCUCACUCACACUUCACCAUCAAGUUUGAAGUGUUCAAAGCAUAGGACUCUUGAGGAUGGCAUGGGAUUUCUGAAAUGGUUCAAGGGUACUUCAUCCUUAAAUUUACAAAAUAAGAAUGGAUGGUGCCAAGGUUUACAAUAUAAGAACACGAUAAUGACUCCCUAAUUUUGGGCACAUGUUUCCUCUUCCAUGUCCGAUGUAAGAUUGGGAUUGCAUUUUUAAAGCUAAAUAGAAAAAUAACAUAACUUGCUAGGCUUGGAACCAGAGACCUUGGCUGGUUCUUUGCUAGAGGUUUAAAUAUGAGGGUUUAUAAAAUUGUGACAGAAAUGAGUGCAGUGACAAAAUAUUUUGUGUUCUUUCUACAAACUUCUAAGCUAAUCUGGGAAUGAUAAUUUUAAACCAUUCUUGUGGAAUUAAGAUGAUUACCAAAUUUAUUGAUUUUGAGAAUGUUGAUAUUUAUUAAAGACCUUGAUCUGCUGACCAAGUGGCUAACUGUUAGAUCAUUAGAUAUAAUUUAUCAGGGACCUUGAUUGGCUGGCCAGAUGGUUUACUGUGUUUGACUUUUACCAACUAAAAAAAUAUUGUCAUCCUUGAUUUUAAUGAGGCAUUGGCUGCUCUAUAUAUUGAUAUAAAAUAAAAUUAGUGAAGGAAAUAUGUAUGCAAAUUCUAUAAUAACAAAAUUUGAAAUUUCCAAUGACAAAACAUGACAUACAAUAUAAAUUAAAUUUUUUAGUACAUGUCCUUCAUGCCUAGGAGUAAUAUGACUUGAAUUACUAAAGGGUGAUAUUAUGGAUUCCACAACGAAUAAAGUAGAUAUAGAUCUAAGUAAGCACUCAUCAAUAUUUGACUUUUGACCAUGUCCAAGUAUCUAUACCAUUGUUAAGUUCCUUUCAGCCAAGUCCUUGUAUCUUAGAGUUUGUGAAUUUGAAUGAUUAGAUGUGUAACACAUACCUGCAUCUGAUACUCGCAACUAAAUCCCUGUAAGAUAUAAGGCAAGCAGACAUAAUUUGUGAUUGUUUCUAUCUGUUGCAUGUGCAAUCAAGGGCUGCUUGGAUUGUUUUAGGGCAACGUAUCUGAUUUCAAUUUGAUAUAUAUAAUUGGGUUCAAAGAACUCAGAAACAAUUAUGGAAGCUCAGAAAUGUAAUUGAUUUUGUCAUUUUGAUUCAGCAUAAUGAUGGGUUCAAAUGUGGAUCAAAGUUGAAAAUCUUGGUAACCCAGUGGGCAAACCCCAACUUUACAACCAUGUAAUUAUUUAUGCGCUUAUGAAUUUGUGCCUGUCAUAUAUGCUGUCUUCUUUUCAGGAUGUUGGACCUAUGAGAUUAUGAUAUUAAGGGCUUGCAGUGCUAACCAUUUUAACUAAUUAAUCUAUAUUUUGGAUUUUACAUAUAUUUUUUUCCAUGUUUGUAAUAUUUUUUUAAUCCAAUGAACUCUAACUUUUUCUUUUGUCUGUAUAUUAUGAAAACUAAGAUGUUUGUUUCUCUAUGCCUCUUUGUCGUUCUAAAGUAGAACAAGUCACUACUGAAGACUUGGUUGAGUUCUCGGAGAUUGAGAAACACAAGCUGGGCCAGGUUUUUGUCUAUGCUUUUAAUUUUGAUAGUCUUUUAUCUUUCACCUUGCUGAACUUAUGCUUGGAAUAGAACAUGGGAUGCCUUUCUCUGCCAUUUGUGGAACUUCCAUCCUUGCUUAGAUUACUCGCUUGUUACAGUUGCCUCAAUGGGAUUUUCUUAGGCAUUUAGUUUAUGACAAAUUUAUGAGCAGCAAGGGCAAAAUAUAAAGAGCAGUUCCAAAAAGCUUCAUGUUUGAUGUGAUGUCCAUUGCUGUUUUUUUUUCUUUUCCAAAAUUUGAUUAUGAAAAUCUCCUUAGUUACAGAAGUAUACCUACUUCUCCUAAUGUUGUUCUUUGUGAUUUAUCACUCGUUGGUGAUUCUCAUUUCAAUUCAGACUCGACGUCUUGGUUCCAUAUCUGAUGUGGAUAACAGUCCACAAUCUUUGCUGUCUUUCAGUGGAAACAAGGAUGUGCAUGCUUUAUAUGACUUUAUGCUAAAUUAUAGGUAAAUACCUAGCUAAUGUCUGAAGAACUACAUCUCUCUAGUAAGUUAGGUUCUUUGUCUGUAUCUCUGUUCUCUUUUAUUGUCAGUGGUUCUUCAUUUCUUAUGGUUGUUUCCAGAUCUUUCUUGACCUCCUUGACAAGUGUGGAUGUUCCUCUUCUGUGUUCACCUGUUCCAUUUCAGAAUGCUGCUCUUUCUGCUCCAGAGACAAGUGUAAUUUAAUUCAAAUUUAAUGGUUAUAGUGUUGGAAUAUGUGCCCAUAAACAAAUGAGAUUUUUUUUUAUUUUGCUGAUUAUUAAUAUUUUUUUUAAGGAAUUAUUUCAAUAUUAUUGUUGCAUGCAUGUUAUAGAUGCUUUAUAAAUAUCGAAAACCCUAGAUUAUUUAAUUGUAACUUUAAAUAUUGUAUAUAAGUGUUAUAUACAGGAGGAUAAUAUUUAAAGUAAAAUAAUCUAAUAUGUUCGUAAUUAAAAAUUAAAGUUGGGAUCUUUAAUUUAAAAUUACUAGCGCGGUUCAUUACAUUCUGAAUGAAAUGAUCUUAUCCGGAUUGUUAAUAAUGAGAUUAUUGGAAUGAAAGCACUUUAUAUAAUUUGAUUAUAUAGGACUGGAACACGAUUAAUUAUGAAUCUCUGAUAAAUUCCGUUAUAAUAUAGAGCAUUCAAUAUUAAUCAAUGAUGGUCAUAUAUGCAUUGAUCUUAAUUCUGAGUGAUUAAUAGACUCCUAUUUAUUGUAUUGUAUUUUUUGACAUACCGGGUAAUGACACAAAUACAUAGUGUCAAAUUCUUGGUGUAUUGGAAGUAUAAUAAAAUAAAUAGCCGGGAAUAUUAAUCACUACAAUAAAAAUAAUUUAUGGUGUCACUAUUUAUGGUGUCACUUUUAAAAUAAUGACACCAUAUGACUUAAAAUUCAUAAAGGUGACACAUCAUAUAAAAAAAUUUAAUUAGGAUAGAUGAUAUUAAUUUUAAGUUUAGUGUCAGUUUUAAAAAAGUGACACCAUAUAAAAUAAAAAUUUUAAAAUAUUAUAACUAAAUGGGCCCACUUUGAGAAUAAUGAUAGUAUAUAAAAAAAAACUCAUUGUUUUCACAUUCCCACAAUCCAAAAAAAUCUCAUUCCAUAACCCAUAACCAUAACUUUCUUCUACCUCUCUUCUCACACCCAUAGUUCACACACAACUGCUCUUCUCUACUUUAUGGACUCUCAGGUAACCCAAAAUCUCUUAGAUCUAUCAUUUUCUUUUUUUUUCUUUUUUUUAUUAAUGCCAAAAUCUUUAUUAGCACAACUGAUUUACAUUCAUUGAUUUGGUAUAUUUGUAAUGUAGAUUGUGUAAAUAGUGUUUUUUUUAUUGAGUUGCAGGAAAGUAAAAAUUAGGUUUAACAUUCCACCAUAUCUUUUGUUUCAUUGUUAAAUCCAUAAACCCCAAAACGAAUGAAAAUAAGAUAAAUGAAUGAUUUUUUAUAUCUUUCAUACUCAAAAUGAGGGAUAAAUAUUUUACAGUAUGAAAUUUUCUUUUGAUCUUACAAGAAAUUUCUUUUGAUGAGAUUUUCUGUUUGUUUUCUAGGAAUAUUAUAGUAUAUUGUGAUGAGGAUAUGUAUCGGUGAUAUUUGAAAAAUAAUUUUUUAGAAAAUUAUUAUCAAUAUUAUCAUCUCCCACAAAAGGAAAAAUGAAAUAGUUUCCAUAUCAUGUUAGAGUUGGUUUAGAAUGUUGGAAUUAACAAUGAGAAAUUAAUUUUAUUUCUAUUUAUUAAUGUAAAUGAAUUGUUUUUUAAAAUUUAAAUAGGAAUGAAAAUUUUUAUAAUUAUAAAAAUGAUCAAAUCUCAUAUUUUGAUUUUUUUUUUUUAAUUCUUUUACAUGGUAUUAUGGUUAAUAUCUCAUCUUGUUCUAUUCAUAUUUUUUUUAAUUCUUAAAAUAUGUUUUUUGUUUUUUAUUUUUACCUUCUUUUCUUAUUGUUUUUAUAUGCGUUCACCAAAAUUUAGAGUAAUUUGAGAUUGAUGAUGAAAUUUCCCUUUCAAGGUUAAAAAAUUUCUAUAAAAUCCUUUUAUUACAUAAAUUUUCCUUCCAUAAAAGUUUUUUUUUUUUUUGAAAAAGAUAUUUUAUAAUUUUCUUUUGAUUUUCUAUGAAAUUUCCUUUAAUUUGUUUAUUUUCUAAGAAUAUUAUAAUAUGUUGUGAUGAAGAUAUUGGUUGGUAAUAUUUGAAAAAUAAUUUUUGAGAAAAUUAUUCUCAAUAUUGUCAUCUCCCUCAAAAGGAUUCUAAAAAUUUGUUUUAUUUUUGUCUUCUUUUCUUAUUGUUUUUAUAUGCAUUGACCAAAUUUUGGAGUAAUUUGAGAUUGAUGAUGAAAUUUUCCUUUCAAGGUUAGGAAAUUUCUAUAAAAUCCUUUUAUUACAAAAAAUUUUCCAAUCCCUUUCAUAAAACUCUUCAUUUUCUUCAUUUUUCUUUUUUCUGAAGAAGAUAUUUGAUAAUUUAUUGAUCUAAAGAAUAUAAAAAGUAAAAUUUAAAAUAUUGAAUAUCUUUUCCUUUGAUGUUUUUAAUCUUUUAUUAUUUUUAUUUGAACAUAUUUUUCAUAUCCAGAUUUUUUAUUAAUUAUUUUAAUUAGAAAAAUAAAUAUUAAUUGGAGUUAUGACUGAAAAAUUAAUAAUUUUUAUGAAAGUUUCUUUAAUUCUUUCUCAUACUAAUUUUUCUCUUAACAUUUUUUAAUCAUGAAUUAGGUUUUUUGUCUUAUAUACACAAUCUUCAAGCUUGUUAUAACAUCAUGUCCUCUCAUAUUAGUAGUUGAAAACAUUUUUAUAUUUUGUUACUAAAAUUUUAUUUUAUAUAAUUGAGAUGAAAUUUAAUGGACAUUGUUAUUUCACAAAAUGAACAUUAAAAAAAUAUUGAAAUUUAAAAAAUCCUUCCAAGAAAUAAAAAAAUAUAUAAAAAGAAUUAAAUGUUAAAAAUGAUUUUUAAAAGCACAAUGAAUUAUAAAAUAAAAAAAAAUUUAAAAAGUGCAUAUUUUUAAGUGGAAGAUUACUAUUUUCUAAAAUUUUAGAUUUAUUUUUUGAUUUUCUAGUUUUGCUUUAUUUUUUAUUUUCUUGAAUUGUUUUUAUUUGAGUUCAAAUGUGAUUGCUUUGUUAUGAGAUUCAUUAAAGAGAUAAUUGUUGAUUCUACAAUUAUUGUAUUAAAGGUUUUACUCAUUUAAUGAAUUGUACUUAGUUUCAUACUUCCAAUUAUUAUGAUAUUAAUGUUAUUCUCAUUUGAUUUCAGUUUUAUGAUAUAAAAAAAAAAACAUAUUCUCAGGUAGAAUUUGAUGAAAUUAGAGGAGAAUUAACUUCUUUUGUGUUAUAACUUAUCAUAUUGAUAAAUCAUGAUCAUGCAUGGUGAGUCCCUUAGUUGUUAUAUGAAUUUUCCAUUGGUAUUGUAUAACAUUACUUAUUCUUUACAUACUAUUUUUAUAUCAAAAUGGGAAAAAGAAAAAAGAAAACAUUAGUACUUAGAUUUGUUUAUUUUUUAUAACAUCAAUUAAUUUUUAUUUUCAAUAAAACUCUAAAUCUCAUUAAACUAUGAAAUGCAGGUAUACACUCUUGGGAAGACAUUAUGAAGAAUAAAAAGAAAGGAGAAAGAAACAACAACAUUUUGGGUUUUUAGAUGUGACUCUUAUGCCAUACAUUAUAGGACAUCAAUGUUACUUUAUUUGGUAUUGAGAAUUUUGGGUUUUUGGAUGUAACUCUUGUGUCAUUUUAUGAUUAGCCGGUUUUAUGCAUAUGAAAUGCAGGUAUACAUGAAUGUUGGAAUGCUUAACAUUUCUAAAUCAUAUUUUAAUAUGUAUUCACUUUUCUUUUUUAGUUUCGGUGGGUUUGAUGUACUAUCAUUUUGUAAACAUUUGAUAUACAAAUAUCACUGGAUGAUGUAAUGUAUUAUAGGUUAAUCCAUAAGCAUUACGAAAAUAUAAGUUAAAUGUGAUAUGAUUAUUAUAUUUAUAGACAAAAUAUACACAAGUUGAUCUUAUUUGUUAAUAAACAUUACAAAAAUCAACAAGCUAAUUAAUAAAAAACAACCAUAUCUUCCAUAAUCAUUUACAAUGAUGUGACACCAUAACUAAAAGGUGAUGCAUUUAAUAUGACAUCUUAUAUAUCUCAUGCAACUCUAUAUCAAAUUAAGUAUAACUAAAAAUAUAUGAUGUCGCUUUUGAAUAUGUCACCAUUUAUUUGUUUUGGUGUCGCUUCCAAAUACGUCACCAAUUGGUACCCUCUAUGGUGUCGUGGAUAAGGUGACGCUAUGUUGUAGCGACACCCUAUGUUUAUAGUGACUCACUAUAAAUGUCACCAUAUAUUUUUUUUCUUGUAGUGAAUAUACAAGAUAAAAUCCAUUCCUUCGUUAAGAAGUCAGAUGGACGGUUCCCAUAAGUAUUGGUUCGGGCCUUGAAUGAUAAGAACGCUCAAUUCAUGAUUAGACCAUAAAUAUAUUAUUCAUUAGAGAACCAAUGGCACUUAAGGAGAAAGAUAUAAUUAAAGAGGUUAACGGAAAAACCUAGCUUUAAUUAUGAACCGUUUAUGGAGGAUUGACUCAUAUGUAGUGACUAUAUCAAUGGGCAAUUCAAAUCCUUUGAAUAUAUUUAAUUUUAUAAUUUUAAGAGUGCAAUUCCAAAUUUUUAGUGGAGUAAUUUUGGAAUUAAUAAUUUUGAUUUUUUUAAUUAAGUUGUUAAUUAAUUGUCAAAAUUAUUGGAGCUUAAAAUUAUAAUGUCCAUAGUUCCUCUCAACGGCUCCAUUAAAAUUAUAUGAACAUUUUUUUUAUGUUGGGUUGAUUUUAUUAGUUUGGAAUUUUGAAUUCUAAAUUAAUUUCACACAAUCUUGAUUUGAUUUAUUUAUUUUAUAAUUUGAUUAUUUAAAAUAUUUUUUAAUACAAUGUGGUGAAGACCACACUUACUUGUAUUCCCUAAGAAACACUUUUUAAGUGGGGAUCAUGGGGAGAGAUAUUCUCUCCCAUGUUUUUCAAAAUUCAAAAUAUGUCAAUUAUAUUAAAAAGUUUUUUUUCUCAAUGUUUUUCGGAUGAUGGGAUGAGAAUACAAGUUUUUCAAUAAAUUAAGUUGUGUGAUAUAAAAACCCAUAAAAGAUAAUAAUAAUAAAAAAAGAACGCCCACUCGUUUUGAGUUCAUCAUAAUUUGGAGAACGUUAGAGAAAGAUCCAUGGUGCUUUAGAGGAUUUGGAAUUCUAAGAUCUUUUUGGUGGAGUUCAAAUUUAUCUGCCUAAUCGCAAGGUACAAUUCUAAUUUACCUAUAUUUGUUAUUUCAUUAAAUUAAUACAAGUAUUGAUCAUUGAGAAAAAAUUUUGAGAAAAUUUUUCUAGCUUCCGUUUUUCUUUUAUUUAUCUGGUUUCAAAACCAACAUAUAGACCAGUGUUAGUGACCUUUGUUUCCCUUGGCCAUGAAUGCAGUUCCAAGAGCAAAUAUACGUCUCAGCCAGAUUCUCGCAUAAACAGUGGUCAACAGUUGGGUGUUUAGAUCCACCAUAUUGAAAAUACAUCCAAACUAUUUCUGUGCAUAUGGAUAGGGUAGACCAAAACUUUGAACCUUCUAACGGCAAGUGCUUCCCUGGUACUGCUUUGUGUUCUCAAAGUUUCAUCAAAUAGGAUCACUGAACUUUGUUGUAACAUGAUUGAAGUAACUUUGACCAAUCCUUGUAUCUGCAUCUGACACGAAGAGGUCCAAUGUAUGUAUUACUGCCCUUCUCAUGUAAUAUAACCUACUCAGAAUACAUUGCUUUUCUUUUAUAGGAUUACCGAUUACCUUGGAAGGAGAGUAGUCAUCCUUUGAAAUUAGAGCAAAAUGGUUCUUUAUAAAUUUUAAUACUUGUACAACGAUAAAUAUUUAUUAUGAUUAAUUUUAGUUGCUUGGUUUUGCUUGCUAAUUCCUGUGGGGCAGGUGCUUGGAAUUUUUCAGUAGUGGCCUUCUUUUGCAGGUCAGUUGCAGGGAGUUGAAGAGAGCUGAUCAUGUUGCUUUUCCUCUUAAAGGAUCCAAAAUGAAAGACAAAGCAAAUGAAAGUGUUUGGGCUGGUCUCUCCUAUAGCAUUGAAAUCAAGGAUGCUUACAUUCCACCGUGGAUAAUAUCAAGUAUAU